rnacentral:tRNA from 1 species
GGUUCCAUGGUGUAGUCGUUAGCACUCAUGACUCUGAAUCCUGGACCCGAGUUCAAAUCUCGGUGCAACCU